rnacentral:rRNA from 1 species
UACGACUACAUAUCAGGCAUAUCAAUAAGCGGAGGAAAAGAAACUAACAAGGAUUCCCUAGUAACGGCGAGUGAAGCGGGAAGAGCUCAAAUUUGAAAUCUUCAAGGUUCUACCUUGACGAAUUGUAGUUUAAAGAAGUGUUUUCUGUUAGAGGAGUAGCAAAAGUUCCUUGGAAUGGGACAUCAUAGAGGGUGAGAAUCCCGUAUUUGGUUAUUCUUUCUAGCUUUGUGAUACACUUUCAAAGAGUCGGAUUGUUUGGGGAUGCAGUCCAAAAUGGGUGGUAAAUUUCAUCUAAAGCUAAAUAUUGGCGAGAGACCGAUAGCGAACAAGUACCGUGAGGGAAAGAUGAAAAGAACUUUGAAAAGAGAGUUAAACAGUACGUGAAAUUGUCAAAAGGGAAGCGUUUGACACCAGUGUUGUUUUUCCGAAAAUCAAUUAAGAAGGGCUUGAUUUUGUGUUGUAUUGACCUUAUCAGCUUUCUUCACUCUUUUUCGAGUCUUUCUUAAUGCACUUUUCGGUUAACAAGUCAACAUCAAUUUCUUUUGUUGUAAAAGGGUAUUUGGAAGGUGGCUUUCUUUUCGGAGAAAGUGUUUAUAGCCUUAUACCUCUACAAUCGGAGAGAUUGAGGUCUGCAGCGUAGAUCCUUCGGGGCUAGAUACACUUGUGCUAAGUUAUAGCUUUUCAUAGACAACUUGUUGACUAUGUUUAGUCAUGUAGCUUACCCGCUUGUGCUAUUUUACCUACGCUUAGGAUGUUGAUCUACAGAGCGAGAGU